AUUCCAGGAGAUGAUUCCAAAAGUGAAUUUUCCACACUGAAUGGAAUGAUAUCUCUGUAUUUGUGCAGCAUUCCACAUCUCGGAUUGGUUCCCCGUUGAGCAAGUCUCAUCCAUUUCUGGAUUUUAGCCCAACAACUUCCAGGUUUGUUGUAACCUGAGCAACUCGUCCAGUGCAUGAAAAAACUUGACUCUCUGUUGCCCUCUGAGUUGUCCACAGAGAAUACCAUCGCUGGGUUCUAAUAUUUAACCAUUUCAUGUUCAUUAUCAU
rnacentral:lncRNA from 1 species